rnacentral:rRNA from 1 species
UUUUAUGAGAGUUUGAUCCUGGCUCAGGACGAACGCUGGCGGCGUGCCUAAUACAUGCAAGUCGAACGCUUCUUUUUCCACCGGAGCUUGCUCCAUCGGAAAAAGAGGAGUGGCGAACGGGUGAGUAACACGUGGGUAACCUGCCC